rnacentral:rRNA from 1 species
CUACGGGCCGCAGCAGUGGGGAAUAUUGGACAAUGGGGGCAACCCUGAUCCAGCCAUGCCGCGUGUGUGAAGAAGGCCUUUUGGUUGUAAAGCACUUUAAGCAGUGAAGAAGACCUAACGGUUAAUACCCGUUAGCGAUGACAUUAGCUGCAGAAUAAGCACCGGCUAACUCUGUGCCAGCAGCCGCGGUAAUACAGAGGGUGCAAGCGUUAAUCGGAAUUACUGGGCGUAAAGCGAGCGGAGGUGGCUUGAUAAGUCAGAUGUGAAAUCCCCGGGCGUAACCUGGGAACUGCAUCUGAUACUGUUAAGCUAGAGUAGGUGAGAGGGAAGUAGAAUUCCAGGUGUAGCGGUGAAAUGCGUAGAGAUCUGGAGGAAUACCGAUGGCGAAGGCAGCUUCCUGGCAUCAUACUGACACUGAGGCUCGAAAGCGUGGGUAGCAAACAGGAUUAGAUACCCUAGUAGUC